ACUCCUACGGGAGGCAGCAGUAGGGAAUCUUCCACAAUGGACGCAAGUCUGAUGGAGCAACGCCGCGUGAGUGAAGAAGGGUUUCGGCUCGUAAAGCUCUGUUGUUAAAGAAGAACGUGGGUGAGAGUAACUGUUCACCCAGUGACGGUAUUUAACCAGAAAGCCACGGCUAACUACGUGCCAGCAGCCGCGGUAAUACGUAGGUGGCAAGCGUUAUCCGGAUUUAUUGGGCGUAAAGCGAGCGCAGGCGGUCUUUUAAGUCUAAUGUGAAAGCCUUCGGCUCAACCGAAGAAGUGCAUUGGAAACUGGGUGACUUGAGUGCAGAAGAGGACAGUGGAACUCCAUGUGUAGCGGUGAAAUGCGUAGAUAUAUGGAAGAACACCAGUGGCGAAGGCGGCUGUCUGGUCUGUAACUGACGCUGAGGCUCGAAAGCAUGGGUAGCGAACAGGAUUAGAUACCCUGGUAGGAUAGCG
rnacentral:rRNA from 1 species